rnacentral:sRNA from 1 species
GAAUAUGAGGACCAUCUGAGGCAGCCCUGGUGAUCUAUUCCAAUUAUCACCAGGAUUGGUUUGGCUCAUCUUGCUCUCUAGGUAGGCGUUCCUCCCUUCCUCACAUCUUCAUUUCUGUCCCUCUUGAAGCUGCCACACUCACUGGAAAAGAACCACCAACCCAGUUAGAAAGAGUAUACCAAUCUUCAGUCAAUUGUGUACGAUAGCUGUGCCUCCCCUGCUAGAACCUCUAAGCAAAUAGUAUGCAUUAUGGAAAAAUAAAGUUCCAAAAAUGACUGGGAUGUUUUAAGGCAGGGUGACGCUCAAGUUUUCAGGCUUUCUGGAAGUCAGCCAUUGUCCUUGUUUCCUGUGAGAGACUGCAGGC